AUUGAACGCUGGCGGCAGGCCUAACACAUGCAAGUCGAACGCCCUAGCAAUAGGGAGUGGCAGACGGGUGAGUAACGCGUGGGAACCUUCCCAGUGGUACGGAAUAACUCGGGGAAACUUGAGCUAAUACCGUAUACGCCCGAAAGGGGAAAGAUUUAUCGCCAUUGGAUGGGCCCGCGUCGGAUUAGCUAGUUGGUGGGGUAACGGCCCACCAAGGCUACGAUCCGUAGCUGGUCUGAGAGGAUGAUAAGCCACACUGGGACUGCGACACGGCCCAGACUCCUACGGGAGGCAGCAGUGGGGAAUAUUGGACAAUGGGCGCAAGCCUGAUCCAGCCAUGCCGCGUGAGUGACGAAGGCCUUAGGGUUGUAAAGCUCUUUCGGCGGGGAAGAUAAUGACGGUACCCGCAGAAGAAGCCCCGGCUAACUCUGUGCCAGCCGCCGCGGUAAAAC
rnacentral:rRNA from 1 species